rnacentral:tRNA from 1 species
GAGGCGUUGGUGUAAUGGCAGCACUACAGGUUGUGGACCUGUUAGAGGGGGUUCGAGUCCCCUACGUCUCCCCU